UUUUUUUUUUUUUUUUUUUUUUUUUUGUCUUUUUGCCAUUUCUUGGGCCACUCCCACGGCAUAUGGAGGUUCCCUGGCUAUGGGUCCAAUCAGAGCUGUAGCCACUGGCCUACACCAGAGUCACAGCAACGCAGGAUCCUCAUCUGCAACCUACACCACAGCUCAUGGCAAUGCCGGAUCCUUAACCCACAGAGCAAGGCCAGGGAUCGAACCCGAAACCUCAUGUUCCUAUCGGAUUCGUUAACCACUGCGCCACGACGGGAACUCCUAUCCGAUCACUUGUGAUGGAACAUGACGAAAGACAGUAAAAGAAGGUAUAACUAUAUUUAUAGCAGAAAUUGACAGAACAUUGUAAAUCAACUAUAAAAAACUAUAAAUCAGCUGUGAUAAAAAAAUAAAAUAAAACCUCCCAGACAGAACAAUAGGACCUUAGUUUUUGUCUGUCAAACUGUCAAAGAAUACCUAACAAAAGAGAAAGAGCUCAGAGUUGGUGAGGUUUUGGUGAGCGAGGCAUCCGCGAAGACCAUGCUGGGGGCGAGGUCUUUCUUACUCAAGUCUGCACGGAAAGUCACGUUAUGUAACCGUUUGUAAAAAUAAAGGUGUUUCACUUGUUAGCAUAACACUGACCACCGCCAUUUCACGUGUGGGAUUCCUUCCUGGAGGCGAUUAGCUGACUGUAAGUGAGCACAGACAGAAGACCUCUUGCAAAUUGAUUUCCACCAGGCAUAAGCGACUUUCCUUUAAAUACUGCCUCCCCCCCUUCCAAAGAGAAAUAGCUGGUGAAGGAAUUCAGAGUUGUUUUUUUUUUUUUUUUUCUCUUUUUUAGGACCACACCACAUAUGGAGGUUCCCAGGCUAGGGGUCGAAUGGGAGCCACCAGCCUACCCCACAGCUCACAGCAAUGCUGGAUCCCUGACCCACGGAGAGAGGCCAGGGAUCGAACCCGCACCCUCAUGGAUACCCGUCAAAUUUAUUUCCACGGCGCUACAAUGGGAACUCCUCAGAGAUCUUUUAAAAGAACAGCUGCAUACAUCCUCACAUAAACUUGAUACCACGUGUCAAGUCCAUCUCCGUCUCAUUAGCCGGGCAGUGUGCUACAGCUGCAAUGCCAGGCUGCAGCGGGUGCCUGGAGGAGAUGGCCGGGGGCCGCCCAGCUCCAAGGAGGUCCAGUAAUUCUGGUGGUAGGCGAAAAUCACCCAGCACUCACCAUUCCGAGGACUUCAUCUCCCUCAGGUCCCCAGACUCUGC
rnacentral:lncRNA from 1 species